rnacentral:rRNA from 1 species
UAUGUGAUCGUCUCUCGCAUAUCAAUAAGCGGAGGAAAAGAAACUAACAAGGAUUCCCUUAGUAACGGCGAGUGAAGCGGGAAGAGCUCAAAUUUGAAAUCUUCAAGGUUUUACCUUGACGAAUUGUAGUUUAAAGAAGUGUUUUCUGUUGAAGUUUUGGUAAAAGUUCUUUGGAAUAGGACAUCAUAGAGGGUGAGAAUCCCGUAUUUGACCAUUAUUUUCAGCUGUGUGAUACACUUUCAAAGAGUCGGAUUGUUUGGGAAUGCAGUCCAAAAUGGGUGGUAAAUUUCAUCUAAAGCUAAAUAUUGGCGAGAGACCGAUAGCGAACAAGCACCGUGAGGGAAAGAUGAAAAGAACUUUGAAAAGAGAGUUAAACAGUACGUGAAAUUGUCAAAAGGGAAGCGUUUGACACCAGUGUUGUUUUCUCGAAAAUCAAUUAAAAAGAGUUAGAUUUUGUUGUGUAUUGACCUUAACAGCUUGCAUUUCAAUUUUCUUGCUUUUUUUAAUGCACUUUUCGUUUAACAAGUCAACAUCAGUUUCUUUUGUUGUAAAAAGGUCAUUGGAAGGUGGCUUUCUUUUCGGAGAAAGUGUUUAUAGCCUUUGACUCCUGCAAUCGGAGAGACUGAGGUCUGCAGCGUAGAUCCUUCGGGGUUAGAUACAUUUGUGCUAAGUUAUAGCUUUUUAUAGACAACUUGUUGACUAUGAUUAGUCUUGUAGCUUACUCGCUUAUGCUAUUUUACCUACGCUUAGGAUGUUGAAGAUGUAGCACAUCAU